CGGGCUCCUGGGAAAGGCACCCCUCCGCCCCAGGCCGCCUCGUGCUUAUGGCGCCGCCCCAGUCUUCCAAAUAGCUAACCUCGAACUAGGUGGGUCACUACCGCGCGAAGGCAAAUGACCUUCAAGGUCAGAAGUAAGCAAACCGUGGUCUCAACUCUCAGCUGGAAGUUGCCGGGAGAUCACUGUCGCUAGUGCCUGACAAGUAUGUUUUCUCCUAAACCCAAACAGUGCUUUCGGGUUGGGGUUUUAUCAAGUCCCCUUUACUGCCUAGGAGGCCUCGACUCCCCGCCGGGACCGGGCCCUUCCCCACCCCCCACCAACCAGGGGCGAGAGAGGCGAGGCUGUAGGGGUCACCUCGGAGCAGGGCCAUGGCGGCGGGCGGCAGCGCAGGGGUCCUCCUCGGCGACGCUGACGUACCGCCCCGUGCACCCGGACUUUAAGCGCGCGGGGCGGCGCCAGCGUGGCCCCGGCCGCGCCUUUUUACCUACUUCGCGCCGCUCGGCCAGGGCUCUCUCUCUCUCUCUCUUUUGGCAGGACGCGGCCCUCUGCGCCACCCCGUGGGAACCAAGGGUACCAAAACCUCCCGGGGAGACCGGCCUUGGACAAGAGAACGUUCCUCGCAAGCGGAUUUUUUUCCUCAUAUCGCUGUUUUUAAAGACUUUGUCUCUCUUGUCUUGUCAAGAGAAUGAUUUGACUCUACCCUGUCCAUCCUAUCUACGCCCCGCUACCCCCAACAGAUCUUAGUACACUUCACCCAGAAAUACUAUGACUCAUGUGAGGAGUUGAUUGCAUCCAUGGACACAGAGCCCAAGGAUACAGAGGGCCUUGACUUUGAAUAAAUGAGACAGGUGCUGGGCAGGGAGAAGGUGCAUGAUUUAAUCUGGAAAAUCUGAUUUCCUCAUGCUGGUCUCAUUUUGCACUACCACCCUGUGGCGGGCCCAUUUCUAAAUAGGCACAUUCAUGACGGAGGGCAAGGUCACCUGUGUGUGGACAAGAUUUAUCUUUUUACAGACUGGUAAUAUCUCUGCAACCGAGUCCUAGUACAAAUACAAUUUUGAGGGGAAAAGGAAAGGAACAUUUAAAUGCCUCUAGCUAGAUUCUCACUGACUUUAUUUAAAAUAAUGUAAACGGAUGCUAAGUGAAAACAGGACCAUAAUGGAAUCAUAGCUGUAAAGAAAACAAUUUAAUGCCAAAUGCUGGAUGCUUAAGUUCCUAGGUGAGAGACAUUCCGGAAUUCACUGUAAGCGUUUAAAAGAGUGUGCGCCUAAGCUUGACGUUUUGUGGGUUGACUACCUUAUCUUUCUACGUAAGCAAGAGACACCACAGAGUUACUGGGAAACCGUGGCAUCUUGUUUCAUAGACCGAAGUAGCCUUUGGUUCAUCCAGGAACAUCCCAUCCUCUGGACCUUCAGGACUGUAUCAUUGGGAGCAGAAAGGGCCAGGAGUGCCACACUAAGAAACAACCACCGGCAGGAACAGACUUGAAAUGGAAGCUGGGCUUGCUCUGAGGCCCUCGGCUGACAGUGACCACACCUGCUGGGUGCUGAGGGCGGUGCACAGGGAACAGAUGGCCUCUGCAUCUUCGGGGCUUUUCUUCUUUAACUGCAGGAGCUGGGCUGCUUGGAUCAGAGGUUCCAUGGUCUCAACAACUUCCCUCUGGUGCAGGUUUCUUCCCCGAAGCCACUCCUCCAGCUGACUUAUAUUGUACCUUAGACACAGGAAAAGUGAGCUCUGUUAAACCUGGCCUCCUACUUCACUGGGAAGAGGUCACCUCUUGUGUUUAUUUUGCAGGCCAGCUGCCAUUAGUGCUAUCAUUCUCCUCAUCUUAAUUGUCCCACAUGGGCAAAAGCGUGAGAAGUACCUGGCGCUCAAUAACUUCUUGUGAAAGAGUGGGUGCUUAAAAUCAAGCCAAGAUGAAGUACCUAAAGUGUCUGUACUAAGUUAAUGAGAAAAAAAGGCAUUAACUAUAUUGAAUUAAAACUUAACAUUUAACAUUCGCAAACAUGUUUGUACUUUCAUGCCUCUUAAGUCAUUAAUUUUUCUCUCUGACCUAUCCACCUCAUGUUUACAAUCUUUAUAUUAAAGUAUGUAAAUGUGUUUAAGCUCUGAACUAAUUUGUUUACCGGGUCACCAUCUCAGUGUGUGAUGAAUUUCACCAACCAAUAAAAAGGUGAUGGAUCUGAGUCACAUACUGACUGUGACAAGGACAAUCAGUUGCAUUUGGAUUUCAGUCUCACAGACAAGUGUCCCGUGCCCGACUGGGGCUGGUGUGUGCCAGGCCAAGGCGCCUCUCGUACCUGAGCUGCAUGCCUGUGCUCCAGGAGCAGACGUCCUUCCUCAGAAGCAGGUUGUUGAGAGUCACCGCGUUGAUCAUGUAGAAGAGCUGUUUGAACACCUGCAGGAUGAUCUCGGGGUCCAGGCCCUGGUCGCACAUGACUGUGUGGAAGGAAUUCAUCUGGCGGAUGAUGGCUUCCAGGCAGUAGGAUUUAUCUCCAUCCGCCAGGCUGGAGGUGCGCUUCCGGUAGCCCGUGGGCUUCACCCCAGACAGACCCUGAAUGCUCUCGUUCUCCAACAUGGCAGACACUGAAAGAGAAGCAUGAUUAGAGAAGCUGCGUGUUCCCAAGGAAGAUCUGUUUUCGGGUCACUGAGAUCACACAGUACUCAGGGCUUUGGCAGUGAUCCCACCCAGAGGUGAACAAGGUCGACAUGCAUUUGGCAUGGAAUUUCUAACCUGUUGAUUUCUACACAGAAUAGGACUUCCACAUAGAAAUCUUGGACUAAACCUGUGGACCACAUUUUCGCGUAAAUUUAUUGGUGAUGGGACAGAGGUAAAAGGCACGUACCGACUUAAUUCUGUUGUGGCUUCUGUGCUGAGAGACCAAAAUGGAGCAACUUGGGUAUAGUCAUGGCCCAGCCACUGACCUGGGCCUGGACCCUGAGAUCAGCCUAUAGGUGUUCAAAUGGCUUUUCUCCAUCAGCCACCGACCAUGUAAAUCUUAGGUGAGCUGGUCUGUCACACUUACUGCCCAGCACUUAACUACAGGUCAGGCACUUUAUAUUCAGUAUUCCUUUUAAUCUUCCAACAACCCAUUUCCUAAUGAGGAAACUGAGGCAUAAAAAGGUUAAAUAACUUGCCCAAGGUCACCCUGCUAGGAAGUGGCAGGGCCAGGAUUUGAACCCAGGUAUGUCUGAUUCCAGAACUGAUGCUGUUAACCAUCAUCUUAACCUGAGCCAUGAAACAUCCCCAGUUCUCCCUGUCUGGUGAGAAUAAACUGGCACCUCAUAAGAGUCUCAGACAGGAAGAAGGAUUUGGAAUGAAUCUUAUCCCAAGGGAUAUAUUUCUGGAUGGCAUGUAGGACUCUGUCCUACUUGGAAUUCACUUGUAACCUACUCGUGUUGUAAGAACCUGGGGAAAGAAUUACUUACAUGGUCCAGGAGACUAUUUCCUCAACAGCCUUUAAGGAGCACAGUGAGUGAUGCAUAUACGUGUCACACUUUUCUCAUGACUUAAAAAAUAACUGCUCUGAUUUUCAAAUCUGAUUUCAUGUUAAGUGCCCAAGUGUACUGCUUUGGACAGAAUGUUUAAUAAAUAUUUAUUGCAUGA